AUUGGAUCAGCUCUGACCAUGUGACAAGGCCAGCUCCAGCCAGAGGGCCCAGCUCUACUCAGGUUCCAUUACUGACAUCCUUCUUAGUGAAGAAUGUCUAGUCAGAACAGUAUCUCCAAAUAAUGGCAUCAGAUGGCUCCAGCAUAAAAACAGGACAAGACAAUUUAUUAUCUACACUUCAGAAAUGCCCACCCAUAUGGAUACUCCUGGCCUAGGUGGAAGAAGCUCUCUGAAACCAUCUUGGACAAAUUACAGAAAAAC